CCUACGGGAGGCAGCAGUGGGGAAUAUUGGACAAUGGGGGGAACCCUGAUCCAGCCAUGCCGCGUGUGUGAAGAAGGCCCUCGGGUUGUAAAGCACUUUCAGUGAGGAAGAACGCCUGGUGGUUAAUACCCAUCAGGAAAGACAUCACUCACAGAAGAAGCACCGGCUAACUCCGUGCCAGCAGCCGCGGUAAUACGGAGGGUGCGAGCGUUAAUCGGAAUUACUGGGCGUAAAGCGCGCGUAGGUGGCUUGAUAAUCCGGUUGUGAAAGCCCCGGGCUCAACCUGGGAACGGCAUCCGGAACUGUCAAGCUAGAGUGCAGGAGAGGAAGGUAGAAUUCCCGGUGUAGCGGUGAAAUGCGUAGAGAUCGGGAGGAAUACCAGUGGCGAAGGCGGCCUUCUGGACUGACACUGACACUGAGGUGCGAAAGCGUGGGUAGCAAACAGGAUUAGAUACCCCUGUAGUC
rnacentral:rRNA from 1 species